rnacentral:rRNA from 1 species
CCUACGGGGGGCAGCAGUGGGGAAUAUUGUACAAUGGAGGAAACUAUGAUGCAGCGAUGCCGCGUGAGGGAAGAAGGUUUUCGGAUUGUAAACCUCUGUCUUAAGGGACGAUAAUGAAGGUACCUUAGGAGGAAGCUCCGGCUAACUACGUGCCAGCAGAAGCGGUAAUACGUAGGGAGCGAGCGUUGUCCGGAAUUACUGGGUGUAAAGAGAGUGUAGGCGGGAGGGUAAGGUAGGUGCGGAAUGAAG